GAUGAAGAACGCAGCGAAAUGCGAUACGUAAUGUGAAUUGCAGAAUUCAGUGAAUCAUCGAGUCUUUGAACGCACAUUGCGCCCCCUGGUAUUCCGGGGGGCAUGCCUGUCCGAGCGUCAUUGCUGCCCUCAAGCACGGCUUGUGUGUUGGGCCCCCGUCCUCCUCCCGGGGGACGGGCCCGAAAGGCAGCGGCGGCACCGCGUCCGGUCCUCGAGCGUAUGGGGCUUCGUCACCCGCUCUUGUAGGCCCGGUCGGCGCUUGCCGACACAUCAAUCUUUUUUCCAGGUUGACCUCGGAUCAGGUAGGGAUACCCGCUGAACUUAAGCAUAUCAAUAAGCGGAGGA
rnacentral:misc_RNA from 1 species